GUUACAGCAAUGGCACCAGAGUAACUGCUGUUAAGCUCUCACGUAUAUCCUCCUUCAAGAUUCUUGAUUAUAGGUACUUAAAUAUAACCGCUGUGGAUUUUAUGAUACUCUGGGACAAGAUAAAGGAGAAUGAAAACCAGUGAGCCAAAUGGACCUUCCUCUGCUGUUCAGGGAAGAAUUUAAGCUUGUAGGAGGAAAUUCAUGGAUUCCACAUUCAAACAUAGUGGUAGGAGAAUCAAGGCAGCAGUUAAAGAGAUUCCCCAAGAGAGCUGCUAGGUUUUGAACUUCUGCCUUCCUUUGAUGUCCAGUUCCUCUGUGGGCCAGAACGAAGGAUGGAGAUCUAUGGGGAAGGAUGGAAAAGUCUGGUCUGGCCAAGUCUCACAGCCAUUCAAAGUAGCUUUGCUAUUUUAAAGCAAAGAUAUUGAACUAUAUUUCUAUAGCAUAUUAACAUGAUAUAUUAAUGUUUUAACAGAACAUAUUAUUUACAAGAUAAAAUGUUAUUUCUCUGACAACAGAGAGCAGGGCCAUGGAAAUUUCUCCCUCUCCAAACCCGGUGUGCUCCCUCCUCUCUUUUCCCUCAUGGGCUUUCGGUCCCUGAGCAUGAGCUGCCCCUGCCACCAUCUCUGCUCCUCCUACCCCAGGAGGUCUGGGGACAUGCUGCUGGAACAGGUAAUUCCCCUGCCACCUGGCUGGGGCAGAGGGGAGGUGCAACACAGGCAAAGGAAAUGGGGUGUCGUUGGUGCAGACAUGAGCUGGACUGAGCAGACCUUGAGCUGACCCUUGUCAAGUGCACUACAGAACAUCUCUGAGUGACAGAUACUAACGGAGUACAUCAAGGUGCCUGAAUGCUUCCCAUUUUGCCUGAAACGAAGGAUUCCACCAUAUGUUCCAUAAUGCUGCAUUGGCUCUUGAUUAAGUCUGUUUGCCAUUAGGUUUCCAAUUUAUUUUUUUCCCUUUUUGUUUUGUCAUUUGCAUCACGUACUUGGUUUUUUUAAGACUCUGUUGCAUGUGUGCUCAAGUGUUCUGGCUUGUGCAGAGACUUUUUCUGCAAUUGCUUGUUCUGUGAUUCUUCACUACAGAGCUGCAAGCUCACAUUAAUGUCAAUGAGUAUCCUGACAUAUUUGCAUUUUGAGAUUUAAACAUGAAUGAACAGAUGCUUUUACUGAUGUGCUUAGAAACUGUGGUGAGGGGUGUGGUACAGCAACGUUGAUGAUCCAGAUCUGUUAUGACAUUCUUCCUAAAUUAUUGAAUCCAUCUUACUCUAUGCUAAUUAGAUCUCUCUUGUUUGGUGAUAAAACCAGACCCGGCAGAAAAUGGGAACUUAAUUAACUUUCAUGAACCAUUUAGACAAUAAUAGACCUAUGAACAAUUAGUAACCUGGAUUUACAAUGCACAAGUCUUACAAUCUCAGCUUGUUGGGUUUUUUUAAAUAGUUGUAAAAUCAGUCAAUAGAUGAGCAAUAAAUGCAAUAUAUUUGCAUGUA